rnacentral:rRNA from 1 species
AGUGAACGCUGGCGGUAGGCCUAACACAUGCAAGUCGAACGGCAGCACAGUAAGAGCUUGCUCUUACGGGUGGCGAGUGGCGGACGGGUGAGGAAUACAUCGGUAUCUACUUUUGCGUGGGGGAAAACGUAGGGAAACUUACGCUAAUACCGCAUACGACCUACGGGUGAAAGCAGGGGAUCUUCGGACCUUGCGCGUUUGAAUGAGCCGAUUUCGGAUUAGCUAGUUGGCGGGGUAAAGGCCCACCAAGGCGACGAUCCGUAGCUGGUCUGAGAGGAUGAUCAGCCACACUGGAACUGAGACACGGUCCAGACUCCUACGGGAGGCAGCAGUGGGGAAUAUUGGACAAUGGGCGCAAGCCUGAUCCAGCCAUACCGCGUGGGUGAAGAAGGCCUUCGGGUUGUAAAGCCCUUUUGUUGGGAAAGAAAAGCAGCAGGUUAAUACCCCGCUGUUCUGACGGUACCCAAAGAAUAAGCACCGGCUAACUUCGUG